rnacentral:rRNA from 1 species
UCGCCUGUUUAUUCAAAACAUCGCCUCUUGCUAACAUAAGAGGUCCAGCCUGCCCAGUGACUUCUGUUUAACGGCCACGGUAUCAUAACCGUGCAAAGGUAGCGUAAUAACUUGUCUUCUAAAUGAAGACUAGUAUGAAAGGCAUCACGAGGGUUAAACUGUCUCCUUUUUCUAAUCAGUGAAACUAAUCCCCCCGUGAAAAAGCGAGGAUAAAAUUAUAAGACGAGAAGACCCUAUGGAGCUUUAAACUUAACAGCACUUAUUAACAAAUUUAAAAUAGCCUUCUCAAAUACCCUGCUGUAAGUUUUAGGUUGGGAAGACCGCGGAGAAAAGCUAAUCCUCCACAAUGAAACAGAACUCACUCUUAAGCAAAAAGCCACAACUUAACGCAUCAACACUCUUGACAUCCAUUGACCCAAUAAUUUGAUCAACGAACCAAGUUACCCUAGGGAUAACAGCGCCAUCCAUUUUGAGAGCUCCUAUCGACAAAUGGGCUUACGACCUCGAUGUUGGAUCAGGGUGCCCAAGUGGUGAAGCCGCUACUAAUGGUU